UACGGGAGGCAGCAGUGGGGAAUAUUGCACAAUGGGCGAAAGCCUGAUGCAGCUAUGCCGCGUGUAUGAAGAAGGCCUUAGGGUUGUAAAGUACUUUCAUCGGGGAGGAAAAAACAAAACUAAUAAUUUUAUUUCUUGACGUUACCCGAAAAAGAAGCACCGGCUAACUCCGUGCCAGCAGCCGCGGUAAUACGGAGGGUGCUAGCGUUAAUCAGAAUUACUGGGCGUAAAGAGCACGUAGGUGGUUUUUUUAAAGUCAGAUGUGAAAUCCCUGGGCUUAAACCUGGAAACUGCAUUUUGAAACUGAAAUACUAGAGUAUCGUAGAGGGAGGUAGAAAUUCUAGGUGUAGCGGUGAAAUGCGUAGAUAUCUGGAGGAAUACCGUGUGGCGAAAGCGGCCUCCUAAACGAAUACUGACACUGAGGUGCGAAAGCGUGGGGAGCAAACAGGGAUUAGAUACC
rnacentral:rRNA from 1 species